rnacentral:rRNA from 1 species
UACGAAGGGUGCAAGCGUUACUCGGAUUUACUGGGCGUAAAGCGUCCGCAGGCUGUUUAGUUAGUUUGAUGUGAAAGUCCACUGCUCAAAGGUGGAAGUGCAUUGAAUACUGCUAGACUAGAAUAUUGGAGGGGUCAGUGGAAUUCCUGGUGUAGAGGUGAAAUUCGUAGAUAUCAGGAGGAACAACGGAAGCGAAGGCGACUGACUGGACAAUUAUUGACGCUCAUGGACGAAAGUGUGGGGAGCAAACAGG